rnacentral:rRNA from 1 species
CGGUGGAGUGAUCAGAAGUGAGAAUGUUGACAUGAGUAGCGACAAACAGGGUGAGAGACCCUGUCGCCGAAAGUCCAAGGGUUCCUGCUUAAAGCUAAUCUGAGCAGGGUAAGCCGGCCCCUAAGGCGAGGCCGAAAGGCGUAGUCGAUGGGAACCAGGUUAAUAUUCCUGGGCCAUGUGGUGGUGACGGAUUGCGAGGGUUGUUCACACUUAUCGGAUUGUGUGGGCCGCUUAGCAGUUCCUGGAAAUAGCCCCACUAUCGGACCGUACCCGAAACCGACACAGGUGGACUGGUAGAGAAUACCAAGGCGCUUGAGAGAACCACGUUUAAGGAACUCGGCAAAAUGCCUCCGUAAGUUCGCGAGAAGGAGGCCCCAUUCUCACGCAAGUGAGGGUGGGGGGCACAAACUAGGGGGUGGCGACUGUUUACUUAAAACACAGGGCUGUGCGAAGCCGUAAGGCGACGUAUACAGUCUGACGCCUGCCCGGUGCCGGAAGGUUAAAAGGAGGAGUGCAAGCUCCGAAUUGAAGCCCCGGUAAACGGCGGCCGUAACAAUAACGGUCCUAAGGUAGCGAAAUUCCUUGUCGGGUAAGUUCCGACCUGCACGAAUGGCGUAACGAUCUCCCCGCUGUCUCAAACGUGGACUCAGCGAAAUUGAACUGUGUGUCAAGAUGCACACUACCCGCGGUUAGACGGAAAGACCCCAUGAACCUUUACUAUAGCUUCGCACUGGCAUCAGGCAUGUGAUGUGCAGGAUAGGUGGUAGGCUUUGAAACGGGGACGCCAGUCUUCGUGGAGCCAUCCUUGAGAUACCACCCUUCGCCUGCUUGAUGUCUAACCGCGGUCCCUUAUCGGGAUCCGGGACCCUGCGUGGUGGGUAGUUUGACUGGGGCGGUCGCCUCCCAAAGUGUAACGGAGGCGCGCGAAGGUUGGCUCAGACCGGUCGGAAAUCGGUCGUUGAGUGCAAUGGCAGAAGCCAGCCUGACUGCAAGACUGACAAGUCGAGCAGAGACGAAAGUCGGCCAUAGUGAUCCGGUGGUCCCGAGUGGAAGGGCCAUCGCUCAACGGAUAAAAGGUACUCUGGGGAUAACAGGCUGAUGGUGCCCAAGAGUCCAUAUCGACGGCACCGUUUGGCACCUCGAUGUCGGCUCAUCUCAUCCUGGGGCUGGAGCAGGUCCCAAGGGUACGGCUGUUCGCCGUUUAAAGAGGUACGUGAGCUGGGUUUAGAACGUCGUGAGACAGUUCGGUCCCUAUCUGCCGUGGGUGUAGGAUACUUGAGAAGAGUUGCCCCUAGUACGAGAGGACCGGGGUGAACGGACCACUGGUGGACCAGUUAUCGUGCCAACGGUAGUGCUGGGUAGCUAUGUCCGGACAGGAUAACCGCUGAAAGCAUCUAAGCGGGAAGCCCCCUUCAAAACUAGGUAUCCCUUGAGGGCCGUGGAAGACCACCACGUCGAUAGGCUGGAGAUGUAAGCGCGGCAACGCGUUCAGUUGACCAGUACUAAUU